ensembl:lncRNA
GCUGAAGGGGGAUCAAGAAGGGUUGGCUUAUUUCAGCAGUGGUGUCGGAUAAGCCCUUUGGCAGAGUCCUCUCUCCAAAGCAUGUUGUACAAAGGUUACCAUCUUCUCUUGGCCCAACGUCUCUCCUCCUGCUCUUUGAGAUGCUGGCAAGAGCACCCACCAGCUGCACUUUCGCACGCUGGUUGCAAUUUCGGUUUCUUUGCUUUUCAUAUAAUUUUUACUGAAGUUUUGAAAUUAUAAAGACCAGGACAAAAUGACAGGAGGGAAAUAAGAAAAAGAGAGAGAGAAGGAAAUAUCAUGGAAAGCAAGAUGGAGCAGGCAAGGUGGAUCAGGCUCCCUCUCCACAGUGCAAGAUACCUGGCCAGGACCUUUCAUGUCAGGGGCAGAGGAGUGGGAGAAGGCAGAAGUGGAGCCCGUGAUUCACAGAGCAGCUCUGUAACUGCACAGCAGUUGUUGCCCCAUUCUGCUGGGGUUUGGGGUCUUGGGAGAAGCAGGAGCAACAGCCGGCGCCUCUUCCACUCAGAGCUUUCCAAACUGUGUGGUGUCGUGACACAUUAGUGCGUCGGCUGCAGUGUCUGCAAAGGAGCGCUGCUGUCCUGUUGUAAUGUGCCGAGCAGCAAAGGAGCCCAUUUCGUGGAAUUUUCAGAGUCUGGACUGUUUGGAAGCAGAAGGCUUUAUGAAACCUCAGCUGCUCCGCUGCUCCGUGCACAGACGGGGCAAUGAGAGACAGAUAAGACUCUACAUGACGUGCAGUCAUCUUUAUCUCACGUAUGCAUGCUUCAGCCUCCUCCUACCCAGCCCCAUCUCUCAGGAGCCAUUAGAACAAACACUGCCAGACCUCUCUUAGGGCAAUUUAAUUGUAGGCCACUGCCCUCUGUUCUGAUUGCAAGAUUUCAUCUACCUUAUCUGGGGCACCUUUGCGAUUAUGCUUGUUUGUGUUUCCCUUACCACCAUGGCUGGCGGCUUGCCCAUUUAACACGGUUGCCAGGCUGAGCCAAGCAGAGAUAAGUUUUUUCUCCCUUUUUAUGUACCCUUUUAACUUUAUUGACUCCUCUGAGUGAAGCUGUUAAUGGCAGAUGCUGACAUUGCUUCCAAAGGAGAAGAGAUAAAAUAUAUUAAUUGAAGAAACAGCAUCUUUCGCUGGGCUGGUUAAGGUUCGCAUUGAAGGACGUGAGCUUUCAGCUUUCACAGAACUCUUCAAAAGCUCCUUUCAUGAAGAUGAGUUCUGUUAAACUUGAAAAUGUCCUUGCUAGGUUCCAAAAUGGCUAAACCUGUGUGAUUGUUUGCUGUUCAUGAAAAUAGUGUAUGUCUGCCUAUGCAUGUAUUAAACAUUCAAACCAAUCCAUUUUUAAUGGAUUGGGGGGGUGGGGAAUAUGGUCAAUUAUGAUAAAGAUCAAAUUAACAUAUCAUAAGAAAUUACAAGUAAAUAUUUGUGGAUAAAUUAGCCUUUUUUCAAUUUUGAAACUGUAAGUAAAAUGAUGGUGUAUAGGCAUAUGCUGAUUUUAAUUUAUUGUAGUUCUCAUCUAUUUCAUCUUUAUGCAUUCCUGCAUUCCUGUGUAAACAUGCUAACGGUAUAAAUAAAUGUGUAUAAAUGGGGGCGUAGAUAUAAAAAUGGAAUGAACACAGAGACAAAAAGGACAAAAAGGAGCGUGUCUGCCAACAUUGGUGGGUUUCCAGGGGAAAAGGGCUGUAGCUCAGUGGCAAAAUAGUUGCUAAGCUCACAAAAGGUCCCAGGUUCCUUUCCUAGUAUUCCUGGUAUGUCCAAGCAAAGUCUAGCAAAGUCUCCUGCCUGAGAUCUUGGGGGAAACCACUGUCAUACGGUGUGCUGACCAGCCUUAAGAACAUAAGAAGAGCCUGCUGAUUCAGGCCAAUGGCCCAUCUAAUUCAACAUCCUGUUCCCACUGUGGAAAUAAAAAUAAAUUUAAAAAGCUUGUUGUUGUUACUUACUGCCAAUAUAUAUAUAUAUAUCUUUAAGAAACUAACAAAAAAAUUAGGAGCCAAAUGAUCCAGAAAAAGACCCAGAAAAAACAUUAGCAGUAGGAAACAUUUUCUUUGGUAAAUAGCAGAACAUUCAUGAGAACUAGUCACAUGCUACCCUGGGAGAAGAUAAAAGGGUUUUACCUGGAGUCACGAGGAUGUUCAGUGCUGGCGCCAAGCAGCCUUGCUGGGAUGUUCAUUAUAAUGUCUCUAGGCAACACAUGUAAUUAAAACAAACCGGCCACCAAGUUUAACGAUUCAAACAAUACCCCGUCCCAAAAAUGCACAACAUAGAAACAGCAAUAAGAAAGAUCGUCACAGUCAUUCAAAAGCCUGGGAGAAGAGGUAGAUCUAAACCUGGCACCAAAAGAGUGUUCAUGUUGGCACCUGGCAGGCCUGGCUUGGGAGAGCAGUCUAUGGAGAGGCCACCACUGAAAAGGCCCUGUCCCUCGUUGCCACCCUCUGAAACUCUCUCAGAGAGGGCACCCAAGAUCUGAAUAUGUAUGGGAGCAGGGUGGGGGGCAUAGCUGAAUAUGCAGACGGUUCUGAGUUUUGAAAAAGGUGGUUCGAAUCCCCGCAAUGGGGUGAGCGCCUGUUGCUCGGUCCCAGCUCCUGCCAACCUAGCAGUUUGAAAGCACGUCACAGUGCAAGUAGAUAAAUAGGUACCACUCCUGCGGGAAGGUAAAUGGCGUUUCUGUGUGCUGCUCUGGUUCGCUAGAAGCGCCUUAGUCAUGCUGGCCACAUGACCUGGAAGCUGUACGCCGGCUCCCUCGGCCAAUAAAGCAAGAUGAGCGCCGCAACCCCAGAGUCGGCCACAACUGGACCUAAUGGUCCCUUUACCUUUACCUUACCCAGGCAGAAAGCUCACUGAUGCAAAGUCAGAAGAGGCAGAGCUGGGUUAAAUGGAUCAGUGGUCUUGACAACUUCCAUCGCUCAGCUCAACAGCAGGUCUUAUCAAAGUUGUGGCGAUUUCUGUUCUGCUUCCUAAAGGAUCCCCCAAAAAGCAAGUGCAUUGGCCAUUGGCUUUCACAUCUCUGCCAGUGUCCUAAACACAUCUAUGCCAAUCACCUCCUCUAGGGCAGUGUUUCCCAACCUUGGGCCUCCAGCUGUUUUUGGACUACAACUCCCAUCAUCCCUAGCUAGCAAGACCAGUGGUCAGGGAUGAUGGGAAUUGUAGUUCAAAAACAGCUGGAGGCCCAAGGUUGGGAAACGCUGCUCUAGGGUAUCAAUAAGACCUCAGGUGCUCCCAGCAAUGGUUAAGUUAGCAGCAUUAGGCUUCAAGUUCUCUCAGAGGUCCUCUCAUCCCAUUUCUUGCUGCUAUACUGAUUGGCCAAAGGGAAACAAAGUGCCGAUUUGCAACCUACACACAAGCAAGAGGCACAAAUGGAACUAGCUACAUUUUUGCAAGUUUUUGAGAUUUAAUGCAGCCGAUAGGUAGGUGCAUUGCCCCAACAAGAGUCUCCAAAUUAGUUGCUCGAUAUAUAUUUUUUAAAUCUUCCCAUUAGGCAAGUUCAGUGGGUCUCACACAAAAAAAUCCAGCAGGAAGACGAGAAUUACAAGCUCCCAUGAGUGAAGUGCCUUUCCCAUAAUUUGGAUUUAACAGGGCCCUGAGUCCAUUUGAAAUAGUCUUUUAUAUUAUUGUUUGGUACUUUUGUUACAUUAGUCUACCACCUCAGUCUAGGGAGCUGAGGGCAGAAUAUAUGAAUACCUCUUUUAUUGCCACAGGCAUCUUAAACCAAGUAUCCCAACAUCACCACCCCUUGAGCAUCAUGGCAAGGUGGGAAUUUGAAUUCCUACAACACAGGCUCCCAUUAGCAUUAGAAAACCCAUUUCUUUAUAUGCCAUCAGCUGCAAUUCCUGCUGAUGGGGUUGGACUAGAUGAUGCUUUUGUGUUCCUUCCAGUUCUGUGAAGAUGGGUUUUUGGUUUCAUUCACAUGAAUUUAGAGAUUUCCCUUCUUACGAUCCUGUUGUAUCCAGUUCACCAUAUGUAUUGUGCAAAUUAAGUUAAUGCAAACCCACUUACAAUUGCAUGGUCACGUGCAGAAUUUGAGGAUGUGGUGAGAAACUGACCACUACCACCCCGCCACCUACCCUCCCUCCAGAACGCCUAAAGCAGAUAAAACAAAGACACUGGCAUUUCAAUUUUUGAACAUUUAUUAGAAACAUGACCCCAAAAGGGGGAUUCUGCAGAACUGCAGUAGUACAAAAUAUAAUUAAAUUUUCAAACCAGUACAAAAUAAAGCAAAACGGAGCAACAAAAUACACAAUAGGAAAACAAAUCAGUACACCCAAAUUUAUGUCCAACUGUCACUUAUAUAGUAUCUUGUGACAAGAUAUUUGGAGUGACAAAAUCUGGGAUCAAUUAACACUUUAGAUAUGCAGUGCUGUUUUU